rnacentral:rRNA from 1 species
GAUGAACGCUAGCGGCAGGCCUAACACAUGCCAGUCGAGGGAGAAGGCCUUUCGGGGGCAGAAACCGGCGCACGGGUGCGUAACGCGUAUGCAACCUACCUUUCACAGGGGGAUAGCCCGAAGAAAUUUGGAUUAAUACCCCAUACUAUUAUUGGAUGGCAUCAUUUGAUAAUUAAAACUGCGGUGGUGAAAGAUGGGCAUGCGUCCUAUUAGCUAGUUGGAGUGGUAACGGCAGCCCAAGGCUACGAUAUGUAGGGGUCCUGAGAGGGAGAUCCCCCACAGUGGUACUGGGACAGGGACCAGAGUCCUACGGGAGGCAGCAGUGAGGAAUGUUGGUCAGUGGUCGGAAGACUGAACCGGCCAUGCCGCGUGCAGGAAGAAUGCCUUAUGGGUGGUAAACUGCGUUUAUAUGGGAAGAAUAAGGCGUACGGGUACGUUAAUGACGGUACCAUAUGAAUAAGCACCGGCUAACUCCGUG